GAGUUUAAGCAUAUCAAUAAGCGGAGGAA
rnacentral:rRNA from 1 species